rnacentral:rRNA from 1 species
AUGGACGAAAGUCUGACCGAGCAACGCCGCGUGAGUGAAGAAGGUUUUCGGAUCGUAAAGCUCUGUUGUAAGUCAAGAACGUGUGUGAGAGUGGAAAGUUCACACAGUGACGGUAGCUUACCAGAAAGGGACGGCUAACUACGUGCCAGCAGCCGCGGUAAUACGUAGGUCCCGAGCGUUGUCCGGAUUUAUUGGGCGUAAGGGGAGCGCAGGCGGUCAGGAAAGUCUGGAGUAAAAGGCUACGGCUCAACCAUAGUGUGCUCUGGAAACUGUCUGACUUGAGUGCAGAAGGGGAGAGUGGAAUUCCAUGUGUAGCGGUGAAAUGCGUAGAUAUAUGGAGGAACACCAGUGGCGAAAGCGGCUCUCUGGUCUGUCACUGACGCUGAGGCUCGAAAGCGUGGGUAGCGAACAGGAUUAGAUACCCUGGUAGUCCACGCCGUAAACGAUGAGUGCUAGGUGUUAGGCCCUUUCCGGGGCUUAGUGCCGGAGCUAACGCAAUAAGCACUCCGCCUGGGGAGUACGACCGCAAGGUUGAAACUCAAAGGAAUUGACGGGGGCCCGCACAAGCGGUGGAGCAUGUGGUUUAAUUCGAAGCAACGCGAAGAACC